AUCAAGGCCUUUUUAAAGGCCACCACUUUUGAGCAGCUUAUGGCAU
rfam:Echinostoma caproni strain Egypt genome assembly, scaffold: ECPE_scaffold0027576